GCCAAAAUGGCGGCUGUAAUCCUUCUCCGGCCCCCUGGACAGUGUACGUUUUAUCACCAUAUGGGAGUCCAGUGGUUCUCACACUUCAAUGUCUCAUCAGAAGACACAAGGUCUUGCUACCACAGUUAAUUCAUGUUUGGCCUGGUGCCCGAGCACUUGCAUCUCUACAUUUCCUAGGUGAUGUUGUGUGACAUUGCAGAGUCUGCUUAUUACGUCUUUCCCUCUAGAAUAUGAGCUCUAUGAAGAUCCAGCUGCUUUGUUCAGCGUGGCAUCCUCAGUGCCUGCUGUAGUGCCAGACACAUCACAAGCCUUCGAUGCACAUUUAUUGAAAGAAUGAGAAAAGGAAAUGCAGGAAGAGGGAUCCAUUUCUUCCAGACUCUGUUAUCUGACCUUAACCUUGGAAAAUCCUCUAGUGCCAUCCUGGCAGUUGAAGGCCCUUGAGCAGCCCUCACUGCCACAGGCUACAGAGGUAAAGGAAGCGGGACACCAAAUCUUGAAAAAGGCAGUUUGCUCCUGACAGAGCUGCAUGAGUUACAAGGUUUUUAACUGCAAGAAUUGUUGGAGCCACUUCUGGUAAUAUAUAAUUUCAUAAAAAUGCUUUCCAAGGUGCACAGAAACAUCUGAGGACUUUAAUUAAGCCUCCACCAUCGGGAAUGGAACUUUUAUGUACAUGGACUUUGGAUUUUCUUUUUCUCUUUUUGAGCACUGCUGGCAAGGAAGCAAGUACCAAGCGAGGAUUCCAAUUGAGUUCUUUGACACGGAACCUUUCCUUUCGUUUUUUGGAAAAUGGAAGUAAUGUACUAGUAUAGGCAUUGUUUGGGAAUACGAGCAUUUAUGUUAAUGGCAUUAGACUCAGUGUUUAUACCACAUGG